UACGGGGGGAGCAAGCGUUGUUCGGAUUUACUGGGCGCAAAGGGCGCGUAGGCGGCCACCGCAAGUCGACUGUGAAAUCUCCGGGCUUAACCCGGAAAGGUCAGCCGAUACUGCGGGGCUAGAGUGCAGAAGGGGCAACUGGAAUUCUCGGUGUAGCGGUGAAAUGCGUAGAUAUUGGGAAGAACACCUGAGGCGAAGGCGGGUUGCUGGGCCGACACUGACGCUGAGGCGCGAAAGCCAGGGGAGCAAACGGG
rnacentral:rRNA from 1 species